UACGUAGGGGGCAAGCGUUAUCCAGAUUUACUGGGCGUAAAGCGCGUGUAGGCGGCUGGUUAGGCGUGAUGUGAAAUCUUCCGGCUCAACCGGAAAACUGCAUUGCGAACCGGCCUGGCUAGAGUGCAGGAGAGGGAAGCGGAAUUCCGGGUGUAGCGGUGAAAUGCGUAGAUAUCCGGAGGAACACCGGUGGCGAAGGCGGCUUCCUGGACCGACACUGACGCUGAGGCGCGAAAGCUAGGGGAGCAAACGGG
rnacentral:rRNA from 1 species